rnacentral:rRNA from 1 species
GCCUAAUACAUGCAAGUCGAGCGAACGGACGAGAAGCUUGCUUCUCUGAUGUUAGCGGCGGACGGGUGAGUAACACGUGGAUAACCUACCUAUAAGACUGGGAUAACUUCGGGAAACCGGAGCUAAUACCGGAUAAUAUUUUGAACCGCAUGGUUCAAAAGUGAAAGACGGUCUUGCUGUCACUUAUAGAUGGAUCCGCGCUGCAUUAGCUAGUUGGUAAGGUAACGGCUUACCAAGGCAACGAUGCAUAGCCGACCUGAGAGGGUGAUCGGCCACACUGGAACUGAGACACGGUCCAGACUCCUACGGGAGGCAGCAGUAGGGAAUCUUCCGCAAUGGGCGAAAGCCUGACGGAGCAACGCCGCGUGAGUGAUGAAGGUCUUCGGAUCGUAAAACUCUGUUAUUAGGGAAGAACAUAUGUGUAAGUAACUGUGCACAUCUUGACGGUACCUAAUCAGAAAGCCACGGCUAACUACGUGCCAGCAGCCGCGGUAAUACGUAGGUGGCAAGCGUUAUCCGGAAUUAUUGGGCGUAAAGCGCGCGUAGGCGGUUUUUUAAGUCUGAUGUGAAAGCCCACGGCUCAACCGUGGAGGGUCAUUGGAAACUGGAAAACUUGAGUGCAGAAGAGGAAAGUGGAAUUCCAUGUGUAGCGGUGAAAUGCGCAGAGAUAUGGAGGAACACCAGUGGCGAAGGCGACUUUCUGGUCUGUAACUGACGCUGAUGUGCGAAAGCGUGGGGAUCAAACAGGAUUAGAUACCCUGGUAGUCCACGCCGUAAACGAUGAGUGCUAAGUGUUAGGGGGUUUCCGCCCCUUAGUGCUGCAGCUAACGCAUUAAGCACUCCGCCUGGGGAGUACGACCGCAAGGUUGAAACUCAAAGGAAUUGACGGGGACCCGCACAAGCGGUGGAGCAUGUGGUUUAAUUCGAAGCAACGCGAAGAACCUUACCAAAUCUUGACAUCCUUUGACAACUCUAGAGAUAGAGCCUUCCCCUUCGGGGGACAAAGUGACAGGUGGUGCAUGGUUGUCGUCAGCUCGUGUCGUGAGAUGUUGGGUUAAGUCCCGCAACGAGCGCAACCCUUAAGCUUAGUUGCCAUCAUUAAGUUGGGCACUCUAAGUUGACUGCCGGUGACAAACCGGAGGAAGGUGGGGAUGACGUCAAAUCAUCAUGCCCCUUAUGAUUUGGGCUACACACGUGCUACAAUGGACAAUACAAAGGGCAGCGAAACCGCGAGGUCAAGCAAAUCCCAUAAAGUUGUUCUCAGUUCGGAUUGUAGUCUGCAACUCGACUACAUGAAGCUGGAAUCGCUAGUAAUCGUAGAUCAGCAUGCUACGGUGAAUACGUUCCCGGGUCUUGUACACACCGCCCGUCACACCACGAGAGUUUGUAACACCCGAAGCCGGUGGAGUAACCUUUUAGGAGCUAGCCGUCGAAGGUGGACAAAAGGGU